UACGUAGGGUGCAAGCGUUGUCCGGAAUUAUUGGGCGUAAAGAGCUCGUAGGUGGUUCGGUAAGCCGGAUGUGAAAUCUCCAGGCUCAACCUGGAGGGGUCAUUCGAUACUGCCGUGACUAGAGUUCGGUAGAGGAGUGUGGAAUUCCUGGUGGAGCGGUGAAAUGCGCAGAGAUCAGGAGGAACACCCGUAGCGAAGGCGGCACUCUGGGCCGAUACUGACACUGAGGAGCGAAAGCGUGGGGAGCGAACAGG
rnacentral:rRNA from 1 species